AACAUGAAAAAUAUGGAUGCUCCUACUAUACUCCUACAUGUCAAGUAGUUGAUGGUGAGGAAAGUAGGAGUAAUAGAUAUCAGAUAUCUAAGGAGCUAUUCUGAUCUAGAAUAACCAACGACACUACAGUAUAGACACAUGUCCUAAACAUGAUCAAUUUGAUUGAACAAUUAGGACAACAAGUUUUGUCAUGGAUGGAGAGUUGAGCAAAGAUUUGAUCUUGCAGUUACUCCCGGACUCCUUGUCACAAUUGUUGUGAAUUUUUCAUAUAAACAAGCUAGAUAUCAGCUUUGUUGAUUUUCUUUAACAUGUUAAAAAAUGUUGAGAGUCAUUUUCCAACCAAGAAAGACCAAGUCUUACUAGUAGGGGCAAAAGGAUCUUCUAAAAAGAAGAACGAUUCAAAGAAGGUAAAUAGAAAGGUAAAAAAAUAAAGGAUAAUAAGAACAAAACUGAUACGGAUAGCAAAGGAGUUUGCUUCCACUACAAUAAGCCUGGACACUGGAAAAGAAACUACGAGAAAUAUCUUGUAGAUACUAACCAGAAGAAGGAGUGGAAAUAUCUUGUCACAAUUUUGUUCAUGAUUUAAAAAUAAAUUUUUCUUUAUGUCAAGGCUGUAAGAAUCUGAAUUUUCAGAAAUUAUUAAAAUACGAAUUUAGUAAAUAAAAUUCUUAAGGCAUGAGAAGGGUUCGAAUAAGAAUAUAUAUGUGUCGUGAGGUAUGUGGAAUGGUGUUGCAUGGGG
rnacentral:lncRNA from 1 species